rnacentral:rRNA from 1 species
AACGAACGCUGGCGGCAUGCCUAACACAUGCAAGUCGAACGAGACCUUCGGGUCUAGUGGCGCACGGGUGCGUAACGCGUGGGAACCUGCCCUUAGGUUCGGAAUAACUCCCCGAAAGGGGUGCUAAUACCGGAUAAUGUCUUCGGACCAAAGAUUUAUCGCCUUUGGAUGGGCCCGCGUUGGAUUAGCUAGUUGGUAGGGUAAAAGCCUACCAAGGCGACGAUCCAUAGCUGGUCUGAGAGGAUGAUCAGCCACACUGGGACUGAGACACGGCCCAGACUCCUACGGGAGGCAGCAGUGGGGAAUAUUGGAGAAUGGGCGAAAGCCUGAUCAAGCAAUGCCGGGUGAGUGAUGAAGGCCUUAGGGUUGUAAAGCUCUUUUACCCGGGAUGAUAAUGACAGUACCGGGAGAAUAAGCUCCGGCUAACUACGUG